rnacentral:rRNA from 1 species
AGUGAACGCUGGCGGUAGGCCUAACACAUGCAAGUCGAACGACAGCACAGUAAGAGCUUGCUCUUACGGGUGGCGAGUGGCGGACGGGUGAGGAAUACAUCGGAAUCUACUUUUUCGUGGGGGAUGACGUAGGGAAACUUACGCUAAUACCGCAUACGACCUACGGGUGAAAGCAGGGGAUCUUCGGACCUUGCGCGAUUGAAUGAGCCGAUGUCGGAUUAGCUAGUUGGCGGGGUAAAGGCCCACCAAGGCGACGAUCCGUAGCUGGUCUGAGAGGAUGAUCAGCCACACUGGAACUGAGACACGGUCCAGACUCCUACGGGAGGCAGCAGUGGGGAAUAUUGGACAAUGGGCGCAAGCCUGAUCCAGCCAUACCGCGUGGGUGAAGAAGGCCUUCGGGUUGUAAAGCCCUUUUGUUGGGAAAGAAAAGCAGCAGGUUAAUACCCCGCUGUUCUGACGGUACCCAAAGAAUAAGCACCGGCUAACUUCGUG